UUUUCAAGUAAGGCCAUGAUUUUAAAUGCCGUCUCUCCACAGAUGGAAAUUACAGAAGCAUUUUGUGCAAGACAGACAGCUCAGAAAACCUGAGGGAGAAGGCUGAUAAACUGUGAGUUGAAAUGGAAUGGAUACCUACCUCAUUUAAAAAGGUUGUUAAUAAUGCCUUAUUCUCUCACUGUGUAUCUCUGAGAAGCUACUUCACCUUCUCUACUACUCAUUUCUAGGCACUUGAAGGCAGCAAUUGGAUCUUUUUGAACCCGUUUCCUUCAAACUGAACAAACACAGUCCCCUUUGAUCAUCCUAGUAAG